AUUCAGGUCAAAAGGGAGAGUGAUCAAACAGGAAGGCUGAAGUAUUUUUAGUGAGCUGGGUCCAAAAAUAAAUGCUGAGCUGUAGUCCCCUUCCCACCCUUUCUGCCUUGUCGUAAGGGGGUGCAAGGAGAGGGGGAAGGCAGGUGGUAUGCAGCAGCAUUAAUUUGGCUGAGUAACUUUCCCCAAACCUGGGCAAGUUCUCCAAUCACCAGAGAGGAGAUCAGGUGGUCUAGGAAAGCCUAAUGGAGGAGGUGACAUGUGAGCUGAGACCUGAAGAAGGAGAAUGAGUCAGCUAUGAGUAGAGUUGCCAUGGAAGGAACAUUCCAGAAGGAUGGAGUCAUGAGUACAAAGACCCUAAGGCUCACAGUCUUCUUGGAGAAUAUUAUAGGAGCUGCGAACCCACUCUGGAGUUACACAAACUUCUGCCUCCGGUUUCAGACAGCUUGGGUCUCAUCCUCCCUACUUCCCUACCUUCAAGCUUCUGAUCUGGUUCUACCACCUUGAGAACAAUGCUCAGCAUCCUUGCUAAGAGGGGCUUACCACAAGAUGAUAGCUGUGUGAUCUUUAAACCACGAGGCCCAAGACAGCCAAGAGGUUAUAGUGAUUCGCGAAAUCGUUGGAGCCAUAAGACAGAGGGAGGAGAAGCAAAAGGACGUGCAUUUUCUUUAGUUUCCUUCAAGCUGUUUUUGAGCCACAUAUACGGGUAACCCAGAGCUGGCUGCUAUUAUGGGGGUGCCUGGGAGCUGGGCCACAUGGCAUCCCUGCCAAGAAGGAAUCUGCGUUGGCGUUGUCAUCGGUCUUCAGCUUCACAGAAUUAAAUUCCUAAUGACUCUGGGUUCCUGACACCAUUAAGAACUACAUAGUUGAAGAAUGCAGUCAACGCUCACGACCUGCACUUUCCAAACAAAAGCUUUGACAUUGACACGAACUCGCAUCUAAGACUACGGCUCCCUCCCCGACGCCAUCAGAGGUAACCAUGGUCUUGAACCCCG